rnacentral:rRNA from 1 species
GACGAAGGAUGCAAGCGAUAUCCGGAAUUAUUGGGCGUAAAGGGUACGUAGGCGGCUUGUCAAGUCCCGGGUUAAAUACCGCAGCUUAACUGCGGAUCGGCCUUGGAAACUGGCUUGCUGGAGUGUGGUAGGGGUAGCGGGAAUUCCUUGUGUAGCGGUGAAAUGCGUAGAGAUCAGGAGGAACGCCUGUGGCGAAGGCGCGCUACUGGGCCAUGACUGACGCUGAGGUACGAAAGCUAGGUGAGCAAAAGGG